rnacentral:rRNA from 1 species
CCAGACUCCUACGGGAGGCAGCAGUGGGGAAUAUUGGGCAAUGGGCGCAAGCCUGACCCAGCAACGCCGCGUGAAGGAAGAAGGCUUUCGGGUUGUAAACUUCUUUUAAGAGGGAAGAGAAGAAGACGGUACCUCUUGAAUAAGCCACGGCUAACUACGUGCCAGCAGCCGCGGUAAUACGUAGGUGGCAAGCGUUGUCCGGAUUUACUGGGUGUAAAGGGCGUGCAGCCGGGCUGACAAGUCAGAUGUGAAAUCCCGCGGCUCAACCGCGGAACUGCAUUUGAAACUGUCAGUCUUGAGUACCGGAGAGGUCAUCGGAAUUCCUUGUGUAGCGGUGAAAUGCGUAGAUAUAAGGAAGAACACCAGUGGCGAAGGCGGAUGACUGGACGGCAACUGACGGUGAGGCGCGAAAGCGUGGGGAGCAAACAGGAUUAGAUACCCGAGUA